GGACGGCGCGCCGGCGCGUUUACCGGGUGGGAGGCUUGACGGCGACCUGGAGAGUACAGCAAGAGGAUGUUUUUGCUGGUCUAGUCUCAGAAAUUAUAUCUUCAGUCUCUGCAAUGAUCCCAAGUUCAAUGGUGCCCAGUUGCCUCCAGGCCCCAGACUUCUAUGUGAACAAGAAAAGCUCACUGAGGAAAUGGUAAUUCUUCCGUGAGAUGUCAUGUCCAGUUGCAGUUAUGAGUCUUAAGACCACCUGUCAGAUGGUGUGA
rnacentral:lncRNA from 1 species